CCUACGGGAGGCAGCAGUGAGGAAUAUUGGUCAAUGGGCGCAAGCCUGAACCAGCCAAGUAGCGUGAAGGAUGACUGCCCUACGGGUUGUAAACUUCUUUUAUAAGGGAGUAAAGUGAGGCACGUGUGCCUUUUUUUGUGUACUUUAUGAAUAAGGAUAGGCUAACUCCGUGCCAGCAGCCGCGGUAAUACGGAGGAUCCGAGCGUUAUCCGGAUUUAUUGGGUUUAAAGGGAGCGUAGAUGGGUUGUUAAGUCAGUUGUGAAAGUUUUCGGCUCAACCGUAAAAUUGCAAUUGAUACUGGCAGCCUUGAGUACACUUGAGGCAGGCGGAAUUCGUGGUGUAGCGGUGAAAUGCUUAGAUAUCACGAAGAACUCCGAUUGCGAAGGCAGCUGACU
rnacentral:rRNA from 1 species